CCUAUGGCUUUACACCAAAGCCACUACUAGAUAAUAAAAAAUGCUAU
rfam:Oryctolagus cuniculus chromosome 12, whole genome shotgun sequence.